AUGAAGUUAACUUCAAAUGCCCACAUUCCUGCAAAAGUUUUCAUGCAACAUAUCAAUGUGGCUGAACUUUGACAGUCAAAAUGCCACAAGGUUGCCUCAGAUUAACUAACUCACAGUGUUUGUUGUGGGUGGCAGGUUAAGGUGAAUGUUUGAAGCCAGAUGCCAAAUUAAACAGUUUACCAACAUCACCUGUAACAAACACCCAUGAGGUGAUCAAUCCCUGGUUGUCUGGGGGGAACAGAUGGGCAGGUUUGGAUUUGAUUUGUGUAUAUGGCAUACAACGUAAGGGACGGACCAUUAUUUUUUUGGAGGGGGGGUGGAAAAUUCUUAAAAAAAUUGUUUGCAAAGACAAAAAAGUGCAAAUAAAUUGUUUGCACACAUAGAAAAGAGGAAAAAAUAGUUUGCGAGCUAAAUGAGAUUAUGCAACAUCAACC